AGGGUGAGGCUGGAUCCUGGGCUGUGUCCCGGCGCCCUGUGCUCCCGGCCUGCGCUGGUGGAUUCGCGCUCCCGCCACUCAGCCCCCU
rfam:Canis lupus familiaris chromosome 17, whole genome shotgun sequence.